rnacentral:rRNA from 1 species
GAUGAACGCUGGCGGCGUGCCUAAUACAUGCAAGUCGAGCGAACGGACGAGAAGCUUGCUUUUCUGAUGUUAGCGGCGGACGGGUGAGUAACACGUGGAUAACCUACCUAUAAGACUGGGAUAACUUCGGGAAACCGGAGCUAAUACCGGAUAAUAUUUUGAACCGCAUGGUUCAAAAGUGAAAGACGGUCUUGCUGUCACUUAUAGAUGGAUCCGCGCUGCAUUAGCUAGUUGGUAAGGUAACGGCUUACCAAGGCAACGAUGCAUAGCCGACCUGAGAGGGUGAUCGGCCACACUGGAACUGAGACACGGUCCAGACUCCUACGGGAGGCAGCAGUAGGGAAUCUUCCGCAAUGGGCGAAAGCCUGACGGAGCAACGCCGCGUGAGUGAUGAAGGUCUUCGGAUCGUAAAACUCUGUUAUUAGGGAAGAACAUAUGUGUAAGUAACUGUGCACAUCUUGAAGGUACCUAAUCAGAAAGCCACGGCUAACUACGUG